rnacentral:rRNA from 1 species
UACGUAGGGGGCGAGCGUUGUCCGGAAUCAUUGGGCGUAAAGCGCGUGUAGGCGGUUCGAUAAGUCUGCUGUGAAAGUCCAGGGCUCAACCCUGGGAUGCCGGUGGAUACUGUCGGACUAGAGUACGGAAGAGGCGAGUGGAAUUCCCGGUGUAGCGGUGAAAUGCGCAGAUAUCGGGAGGAACACCAAUUGCGAAGGCAGCUCGCUGGGACGUUACUGACGCUGAGACGCGAAAGCGUGGGGAGCAAACAGG